AGUGCUCCACUUAGUAGUUGUUUAUGCUGAUUAGCUUUAGGAUUUUUCUUUGGGGCAGGAUUUUAUUCAGUCUUCCCUUGCGGCUGCGAACCUGUUACAUACUUGCUGGUCUGUGUAAGUUAAUACAGGCAUAUCGAGUCAUCAAAAUUUCCUCGCCAUAGUAUAUCAAGGACCCCAGUGUUCACGGUUCAACCCUGACCAGCGGUGUUGCCACGUCUGUGUAUGGAUUCUCCGGCGCUUGGAGAUGACGUCUACAGCCUUCACCUGACACGUUUCGUCGAUAUACGACUUCCUGAGAGGCUCAAAUUCUAAACUCAAGGAGAACGAGCCUUCCUGUGGGUCGGUUUUAAAAGGGGAUUUCCAGAAACUGUUUUGGACACAACCUUAUUAAGUAUUUUGAUUGACAUAGUGCCUAGAUGACAUCGGCAACCAGCACCUCCCACCAAUGCACGCCCAGUCCUUCUGAGUGGCUGCUGCUCAGUGAAAGUGAAAAAAAGAGAUGGCCGACGGCUGCCCUGGAUUACUGUAGCUGUAACAGGACAGGAAAUCAGGAGAAAGGGAGAAGCGUGAUAAGAAAUGCUAAGAUAACAAAUAAAGUGGACCCAAAAGGAGACUGGAGGCUAAGCCGAGCAGAGGAGACUCGCGUUCCUUGUUAAAGGGGAAGGAAAGUCUUUUUAACUUGAGGGUGCCACAAUUUAGGCAUCCCAAGUGAUUUUAUUUACUUAACAGAUAACCCAGGCUGCUGCUCCUGUCAACAGAAAACUGCACCGGCCCAGGGUUCUUCCAGAGAUCACCACAGAGUGAUUCUCUUUUUCCACUUCUUCAGACAUAACUGCACAUUGUUGUGAAAUAGCUGUUUUUUUCUUCUGUUGUUAAAGUAUGACUUUUCACUCUGCUGUGUAUGCACAGCUGCGGGAAUAAAGAAUAAGCAUGAACAGGA